rnacentral:rRNA from 1 species
AACGAACGCUGGCGGCAUGCUUAACACAUGCAAGUCGAACGAGACCUUCGGGUCUAGUGGCGCACGGGUGCGUAACGCGUGGGAACCUGCCCUUAGGUUCGGAAUCACUCCCCGAAAGGGGUGUUCAUACAGGAUAAUGUCUUCGGACCAAAGAUUUAUCGCCUUUGGAUGGGCCCGCGUUGGAUUAGCUAGUUGGUAGGGUAAAAGCCUACCAAGGCGACGAUCCAUAGCUGGUCUGAGAGGAUGAUCAGCCACACUGGGGCUGAGACACGGCCCAGACUCCUACGGGAGGCAGCAGUGGGGAAUAUUGGACAAUGGACGAAAACCUGAUCCAGCAAUGCCGCGUGAGUGAUGAAGGCCGUAGGGUUGUAAAGCUGUUUUACCCGGGAUGAUAAUGACAGUACCGGGAGAAUAAGCUCCGGCUAACUCCGUG